rnacentral:misc_RNA from 1 species
UCCGAGUUAUCCCCGGCAGUCUCUCCAGAGUGCCCAACUUAAUGAUGGCAACUGAAAAUAAGGGUUGCGCUCGUUGCGGGACUUAACCCAACAUCUCACGACACGAGCUGACGACAACCAUGCACCACCUGUCUACCUGUCCCGAAGGACGUUAUGAUCUCUCACAACUUCAGGCGAUGUCAAGCCCUGGUAAGGUUCUUCGCGUUGCUUCGAAUUAAACCACAUGCUCCGCUGCUUGUGCGGGCCCCCGUCAAUUCCUUUGAGUUUCAACCUUGCGGCCGUACUCCCCAGGCGGGAUACUUAUUGUGUUAACUGCGGCACAGAGGGGGUCGAUACCCCCUACACCUAGUAUCCAUCGUUUACAGCGUGGACUAC